rnacentral:lncRNA from 1 species
CUUCAUUCUUUCUGUCACAUUUUAGUUAAUUCUUUCACCAGUCCUCACUGAGAUAUUGCAAUAAUUUCCAAGAGGACCCUUUUGUCUGAAGAUUUUGCCCCCUUCAAAUUAUCUCUAAGAAGGAUCUCCUGUUUUUAUCCCAGUGCUAAGCCUCCAAUGGUGCUUCACUUCUUCAGGAAGAUGCACGGCUCACAGGCCACACAGGGCUCAGCAGGUCACAGCCACAGAUUCUCACAGGCAAAGACGAGAGGAUGGAUAAACAAGGGUUUGCCAAGGAGAAGAUGCCAGUGUCACACUUUCUCCCUCAGUGUGUUCAGAUGGGAUUGGAAAGUCUCCCUGGCCACACAGGAUCCACGACAGCAUAGCGUGUCGGAGUUCACUGCUUACUGUUCUAAUGCAGUGUCAGCCCAUCUGCGUUGCCAUAAAGGAAUAUCUAAGACUGAGUGAUCGAUGAAGAACACAGGUUUGUUUUGGCUCAUGGUUCUGCAGGCUGUAUAGAAAGCACAGUGCUGGUAUCUGCUACUGGUGAAG